UCACCCCACCACAGAGAGGGAGCUCUUUCCAAAAUAUGUCUCGUGAAGCCUUACGCACUCCCCUCAGGCAUCAGCAGCUUUCACCAGCUCUUCGUUGUGUUCAUAUCCUAGGAUUUUGCCUGUCCCCACCGCUGGCUGCUGUCCUUCAGAGAACAGCUGCUGUCUGCAGGGUGCCCCUUUCGGCUGGGAGCUGUGGAAGAACGUCUUUCUCCUGCACCCAGAAUUAAUUUGCGAGGCUGCAGCUCAUACAAAUAAUUAGUGUGGUUCCUCCCUGCCCACUUCCCUUCACACUCGUUCAGCCUGAAUUUCACGAGUCUUCUGCGCCACCCUUCCUCAGGGCUCGUCUUGCUCCAGAGAUUUAUAUCAACAACGAGAAGAGUGGAGCCUUUGGGAAGGGGAAAAGCUGGAGAGCACUGAUUACCAUGGAGGGACAAGCUGGACCCGUCGGAGCCUGAGACCCAGCUCCCCCUCUGCUGCUGGCUGCUGUGAGACCUUAUAUAAAGGAUGGACUCAGCAUCUUGUAGGACUUGCUUGCGCUUUCUUGUGUGAAGGCUGAGACCGUUUGGGACGACACCCUAUACUCACCUUCUCAGAAAAGAAAUGACCUGUUGCUUCUAGAGAACAGAAGUUGCGGAUGCCAUGAGGUCUCAUGUAAGGCUGCAAGAGGGGAAGAGAGGAGGCAAGAUCCUGGCUCUCUUGAAGCCUCUAGGGACAGAAGUAUGCCAGUACAGUGGUGCACCUGAUGUUGCUUCAUUGUGUUUGGCUAUUCUCCUCCUGCGCAGCACAGGGGCUCUGAGACUUGCUGUAUCAGUUACCAGCUUUCCCAAAGGUGGGUCAAUGAGAGCAGCAUUACCGUCUGCUUUUACUGGGGUGGAUGCAGCUUAGCUUCAAUACCACUGAAUCUGGCAGGCCACAGCUGGUAAGAAAGUAGGGCAGCAGUGCAUGUCUCUGGGGCAGUGAUUGUACUUUUUCCUCAAUUACGCACUCGCUUAAUCUCAGAGGGGAAAUUACUACGUAUUUCUCAGUAAUAAAAACCGAAUCUCUCUCUGCUCUGAUUGG